UCAAGCUACAAAGAGCACAAGGGGAAUGCCUUGGCACCGAGAGCUGAAGAAGGACGUGACUAACUGCGAUAAGCUGCGGGGAGCCGUAAGUAGGCUUUGAUCCGCAGAUUUCCGAAUGGAGCAAUCCGGCAAGAGGAAAGUCUUGUCAUCAUAUACUGAAUACAUGGGUAUAUGAGGGGAACCGCCUGAACUGAAACAUCUAAGUAGGGCGAGGAAGAGAAAUCAACUGAGAUUCCGUAAGUAGUGGCGAGCGAACGCGGAAGAGGCCAAACCGAGAGUAGUAAUACUUUCGGGGUUCGGACAGAAUACGGUAUUGUAAAGGUUUAGUGGAAUGGAAUGGGAAGUCCAACCGAAGAAGGUGAGAGUCCUGUACACGAAAAGCCUGAACAGCCAUCUGUAUCCAGAGUACCGCCGGACACGUGAAACCCGGUGGGAAUAUGGGGGGACCAUCCUCCAAGCCUAAAUACUACUCGGUGACCGAUAGUGAAGAAGUACUGUGAAGGAAAGGUGAAAAGUACCCCUGACGGGGAGUGAAAAAGAACCUGAAACCUUGUGUUUACAAGCACCGAAAGCUCAUCAAAGAGCGAUCGGGUACCUUUUGUAGAAUGGUCCGGCGAGUGAAUGUAACCGGCGAGGUUAAGCACUUAAGGUGUGAAGCCGCAGCGAGAGCAAGUCUGAAUAGGGCGUAUGAAGUCGGUUGUAUUCGACCCGAAACCGGGUGACCUACCCAUGGUCAGGUUGAAGUAAAGGUAAAACUUUAUGGAGGACCGAACCGACUCCCGUUGAAAUGGUAGCGGAUGAACUGUGGGUAGCGGAGAAAUUCCAAUCGAACCCGGAGAUAGCUGGUUCUCUCCGAAAUAGCUUUAGGGCUAGCCUUGAAAUAGAUUACUGGAGGUAAAGCACUGAAUUGGCUAGGGGCCGAAAGGUUACUGAACCUUAUCAAACUCAGAAUGCCAGAUAAUCGUUUUUCAGGAGUCAGACGGUGGGAGAUAAGUUUCAUCGUCAAAAGGGAAACAGCCCAGACCCACAGCUAAGGUCCCAAAUUAUAGUUAAGUGGAGAAGGAUGUGGGAUUGCAUAGACAACCAGGAUGUUGGCUUAGAAGCAGCCACUCAUUAAAAGAGUGCGUAAUAGCUCACUGGUCGAGUGAUCCCGCGCCGAAAAUUUAACGGGGCUAAACUAUAAACCGAAGCUUGGGAUACCGUAAGGUAUGGUAGGAGAGCGUCAUGUAAGGGGUGAAGUCAUAGCGAAAGCGGUGGUGGACUUUACAUGAGUGAGAAUGCCGGAAUGAGUAGCGAGAAUUAAGUGAGAAUCUUAAUGGCCGAAAGUCUAAGGUUUUUGGAGGAAGGUUCGUCCGCUCCAAGUAAGUCGGGAGCUAAGGUCAGGCCGAAAGGCGUAGCCGAUGCACAUACGGUUGAUAUUCCGUAACCAUCUGUAAUUUAAGCAAAGGGACACUUCAAAAGGGUGUGACCCGGGCGUUGGUUGACCCGGGCGUAAGGGACCGAAAUUAGAGUAGGGAAGCACACUUGGCUGAAGGCGAGAAAAGCUUUGCGUAUAGAAACAGAUGCCCGUACCGCAAACCGACACAGGUGGACAGGAAGAGAAUUCUAAGGCCAGCGGGAGAAGGGUAGUUAAGGAACUCGGCAAAUUGACUCCGUAACUUCGGAAUAAGGAGUGCUCGAAAGAGCCGCAGAGAAUAGGCCCAGGCGACUGUUUAGCAAAAACACAGGUCUCUGCCAAAUCGAAAGAUGAAGUAUAGGGGCUGACACCUGCCCGGUGCCGGAAGGUUAAGAGGAGGAGUGAGAGCUCCGAAUUGAAGCCCCGGUAAACGGCGGCCGUAACUAUAACGGUCCUAAGGUAGCGAAAUUCCUUGUCGGGUAAGUUCCG
rnacentral:rRNA from 1 species